GACAGAGGAUGCAAGCGUUAUCCGGAAUGAUUGGGCGUAAAGCGUCUGUAGGUGGCUUUUUAAGUCCGCCGUCAAAUCCCAGGGCUCAACCCUGGACAGGCGGUGGAAACUACCAAGCUGGAGUACGGUAGGGGCAGAGGGAAUUUCCGGUGGAGCGGUGAAAUGCGUAGAUAUAGGAAGGAACACCAGUGGCGAAGGCGACCACCUGGACUGAUACUGACACUGAGGUGCGAAAGCGUGGGGAGCAAACAGG
rnacentral:rRNA from 1 species